AUUGAACGCUAGCGGGAUGCUUAACACAUGCAAGUCGAACGAGUGGCGGACGGGUGAGUAAUAUAUCGGAACGUGCCCAGUCGCGGGGGAUAACUACUCGAAAGAGUAGCUAAUACCGCAUACUAUUGGCGCGGCCCAUGUCGGAUUAGGUAGUUGGUGUGGUAAAGGCUCACCAAGCCAACGAUCCUUAGCUGGUUUGAGAGGACGACCAGCCACACUGGGACGGAGACACGGCCCAGACUCCUACGGGAGGCAGCAGUGGGGAAUUUUGCGCAAUGGGGGAAACCCUGAUCCAGCCAUGCCGCGUGUAUGAGAAGGCCUUCGGGUUGUAAAGUACUUUUGGUAGAGAAGCGGUAUCUGCAGAAGAAGCACCGGCUAACGACGUGCCAGCAGCCGCGGUAAUAC
rnacentral:rRNA from 1 species